ACCCGGGUGGCGGAACUGGCAGACGCAGGGGACUCAAAAUCCCCCGGCACGUGAGUGCCUUGCGGGUUCGAUUCCCGCCCCGGGUAC
rnacentral:tRNA from 1 species